rnacentral:rRNA from 1 species
UACGGGGGGGGCUAGCGUUGUUCGGAAUUACUGGGCGUAAAGGGCGCGUAGGCGGCCUACUAAGUCGGACGUGAAAUCCCUCGGCUCAACCGGGGAACUGCGUCCGAUACUGGUGGGCUUGAAUCCGGGAGAGGGAUGUGGAAUUCCAGGUGUAGCGGUGAAAUGCGUAGAUAUCUGGAGGAACACCGGUGGCGAAGGCGGCAUCCUGGACCGGUAUUGACGCUGAGGCGCGAAAGCUAGGGGAGCAAACGGG